AAACUCAAAGGAAUUGACGGGACCCGCACAAGCAGCGGAGCGUGUGGUUUAAUUCGUUGCUACACGAAGAACCUUACCUGGGUUUGACAUAUAGGUUGUAGGGAACUGAAAAGGGACCGACCUUCGGGGAGCCUAUACAGGUGUUGCAUGGCUGUCGUCAGCUCGUGUCGUGAGAUGUUCGGUUAAGUCCGCUAACGAGCGCAACCCUCGUCGUAUGUUAUAUGUGUCAUACGAGACUGCCGGUAAAAGCCGGAGGAAGGUGAGGAUGAUGUCAAGUCAGCAUGACCUUUAUAUCCAGGGCUACACACACGCUACAAUGGUCUGUACAAUGGGUAGCCAAGCCGCGAGGCGGAGCCAAUCCUGAAAGCAGGCCUCAGUUCAGAUUGCAGUCUGCAACUCGACUGCAUGAAGCCGGAGUUGCUAGUAACCGCAGGUCAGCAAUACUGCGGUGAAUACGUUCCCGGGUCUU
rnacentral:rRNA from 1 species